AUGAAGGUCCGGGCGACAGAAAGUGAAGCAGAAGAAGAAACGACUCCACGCCAGCUUUAAGAACAAUUGAGGUUGAGCAGGCGAUGGAAUGGAUUGGUGUUGAGCGGAUUUCCCUUUUGAUGUUUAUGUAAUGAAACCUUGAGUAUGCAUCUCCAUAUGCAUAACUCACACGUUUUUCCGCUGCAAACACUCUGAAUUUGUUAUCGUAUUGUGGAACUUAUUACCCCUUCAUUUUGUUUAACUUUCAUUUGGGGUUUAGUCGUUAUGGCUGGCUCAUUUGUUAAUUACCCAAGUGGUUAUAUAUAUAUAUAUACCACUAGUUUGUUGUUAUUAAUGUUGGUUAUUUAGUA